rnacentral:rRNA from 1 species
UACAGAGGGUGCGAGCGUUAAUCGGAAUUACUGGGCGUAAAGCGUGCGUAGACGGUAGCGUAAGUCAGAUGUGAAAGCCCCGGGCUCAACCUGGGAAUGGCGUUUGAAACUGGCAGGCUAGAGUUUGGCAGAGGGGGGUGGAAUUCCACGUGUAGCAGUGAAAUGCGUAGAGAUGUGGAGGAACACCGAUGGCGAAGGCAGCCCCCUGGGCCAAAACUGACGCUCAGGCACGAAAGCGUGGGGAGCAAACAGG